rnacentral:rRNA from 1 species
UAUUUAUUAGAUAAAAAACCAAUGCCCUUCGGGGCUCCUUGGUGAAUCAUAAUAACUCAACGAAUCGCAUGGCCUUGCGCCGGCGAUGGUUCAUUCAAAUUUCUGCCCUAUCAACUUUCGAUGGKAGGAUAGUGGCCUACCAUGGUAUCAACGGGUAACGGGGAAUUAGGGUUCGACUCCSGAGAGGGAGCCUGARAAACGGCUACCACAUCCAAGGAAGGSAGCAGGSGCGCAAAUUACCCAAUCCCGACACGGGGAGGUAGUGACAAUAAAUACUGAUACAGGGCUCUUUUGGGUCUUGUAAUUGGAAUGAGUACAAUUUAAAUCCCUUAACGAGGAACAAUUGGAGGGCAAGUCUGGUGCCAGCAGCCGCGGUAAUUCCAGCUCCAAUAGCGUAUAUUAAAGUUGUUGCAGUUAAAAAGCUCGUAGUUGAACCUUGGGCCUGGCUGGCCGGUCCGCCUCACCGCGUGUACUGGUCCGGCCGGGCCUUUCCUUCUGGGGAACCUCAUGCCCUUCACUGGGCGUGUUGGGGAACCAGGACUUUUACUUUGAAAAAAUUAGAGUGUUCAAAGCAGG